rnacentral:sRNA from 1 species
UGUAAGUUUAUGGUCGAUGGUGAGCCC